ACCUCCAAAACUCACUGAUUUCCAGAGCAGAUGUCUUUUCCUUUCAUUUUCCAGUCAGCUCUACUGGCCGGAUUCAGUUUCCAAGAAACCUCAACUUGAACCAGUUACUUGCAGCUCAGCUGAUUUAAACAUGGUUUC